UACGUAGGGGGCAAGCGUUGUCCGGAUUUAUUGGGCGUAAAGAGCGUGUAGGCGGUCAGGUAGGUCCGUUGUGAAAACUCGAGGCUCAACCUCGAGACGCCGAUGGAAACCAUCUGACUAGAGUCCGGAAGAGGAGAGUGGAAUUCCUGGUGUAGCGGUGAAAUGCGCAGAUAUCAGGAGGAACACCGGUGGCGAAGGCGGGUCUCUGGGCCGAUACUGACGCUGAGGAGCGAAAGCGUGGGGAGCGAACAGG
rnacentral:rRNA from 1 species